GUAAUAAGUGUUUUAUGGCACUUUUUAAAUCCAUAUCCACCUUGUGUGCAAUGUCAGUCGAUCUUCUUCAUGGAGAUCGACCAAACAUCAACCUUUAUUUUUUAACUCUUUGUCUGAAAAAUAUUAUGAAUAAACAAUUCAAAAUA
rnacentral:misc_RNA from 1 species